CCAGGGGUACUCAAGCGGACAACGAGAAGAGUCUGUAAAACUCUCGGCGCAAGCCUUCGCAGGUUCGAAUCCUGCCCCCUGGA
rnacentral:tRNA from 1 species